rnacentral:rRNA from 1 species
UACGUAGGGCGCAAGCGUUAUCCGGAAUUAUUGGGCGUAAAGAGCUCGUAGGUGGUUUGUCGCGUUGUCCGUGAAAACUCACAGCUUAACUGUGGGCGUGCGGGCGAUACGGGCAGACUGGAGUACUGCAGGGGAGACUGGAAUUCCUGGUGUAGCGGUGGAAUGCGCAGAUAUCAGGAGGAACACCGGUGGCGAAGGCGGGUCUCUGGGCAGUAACUGACGCUGAGGAGCGAAAGCGUGGGGAGCGAACAGG